CCCAGACUCCUACGGGAGGCAGCAGCGGGGGAUAUUGCACAAUGGGGGGAACCCUGAUGCAGCGACGCCGCGUGGGUGAAGAAGUAUUUCGGUAUGUAAAGCCCUAUCGGCAGGGAAGAAAUUGGACGGUACCUGACUAAGAAGCCCCGGCUAACUACGUGCCAGCAGCCGCGGUAAUACGUAGGGGGCAAGCGUUAUCCGGAUUCACUGGGUGUAAAGGGAGCGUAGACGGCCAUGCAAGCCUGGAGUGAAAGCCCGGGGCCCAACCCCGGGACUGCUCUGGGAACUGUGCGGCUGGAGUGCGGGAGGGGCAGGCGGAAUUCCUGGUGUAGCGGUGAAAUGCGUAGAUAUUAGGAAGAACACCAGUGGCGAAGGCGGCUUGCUGGACAGUAACUGACGUUGAGGCUCGAAAGCGUGGGGAGCAAACAGGAUUAGAUACCCGAGUA
rnacentral:rRNA from 1 species